UACGUAGGGUGCGAGCGUUGUCCGGAAUUAUUGGGCGUAAAGGGCUCGUAGGCGGUUUGUCGCGUCGGGAGUGAAAACCCAGGGCUUAACCCUGGGCUGGCUUCCGAUACGGGCAGACUAGAGGUAUGCAGGGGAGAACGGAAUUCCUGGUGUAGCGGUGAAAUGCGCAGAUAUCAGGAGGAACGCCGGUGGCGAAGGCGGUUCUCUGGGCAUUACCUGACGCUGAGGAGCGAAAGUGUGGGGAGCGAACAGG
rnacentral:rRNA from 1 species